UACGUAGGGUGCAAGCGUUGUCCGGAAUUAUUGGGCGUAAAGAGCUCGUAGGCGGUUUGUCGCGUCUGCUGUGAAAACUCGGGGCUUAACCCCGGGCCUGCAGUGGGUACGGGCAGACUAGAGUGCGGUAGGGGAGACUGGAAUUCCUGGUGUAGCGGUGAAAUGCGCAGAUAUCAGGAGGAACACCGGUGGCGAAGGCGGGUCUCUGGGCCGUAACUGACGCUGAGGAGCGAAAGUGUGGGGAGCGAACAGG
rnacentral:rRNA from 1 species